rnacentral:rRNA from 1 species
UAGCGCAAGUCAUCAGCUUGCGUUGAUUACGUCCCUGCCCUUUGUACACACCGCCCGUCGCUACUACCGAUUGAAUGGCUCAGUGAGGCGUCCGGACUGGCCCAGAGAGGUGGGCAACUACCACUCAGGGCCGGAAAGCUCUCCAAACUCGGUCAUUUAGAGGAAGUAAAAGUCGUAACAAGGUCUCCGUUGGUGAACCAGCGGAGGGAUCAUUACCGAGUUUACAACUCCCAAACCCCUGUGAACAUACCUUAAUGUUGCCUCGGCGGAUCAGCCCGCGCCCCGUAAAACGGGACGGCCCGCCAGAGGACCCAAACUCUAAUGUUUCUUAUUGUAACUUCUGAGUAAAACAAACAAAUAAAUCAAAACUUUCAACAACGGAUCUCUUGGUUCUGGCAUCGAUGAAGAACGCAGCAAAAUGCGAUAAGUAAUGUGAAUUGCAGAAUUCAGUGAAUCAUCGAAUCUUUGAACGCACAUUGCGCCCGCUGGUAUUCCGGCGGGCAUGCCUGUUCGAGCGUCAUUUCAACCCUCAAGCCCCCGGGUUUGGUGUUGGGGAUCGGCUCUGCCUUCUGGCGGUGCCGCCCCCGAAAUACAUUGGCGGUCUCGCUGCAGCCUCCAUUGCGUAGUAGCUAACACCUCGCAACUGGAACGCGGCGCGGCCAUGCCGUAAAACCCCAACUUCUGAAUGUUGACCUCGGAUCAGGUAGAACUUAA